GACGAACGCUGGCGGCGUGCUUAACACAUGCAAGUCGAACGGUGAAGGGAUCAGCUUGCUGGUUCUGGAUGAGUGGCGAACGGGUGAGUAACACGUGAGUAACCUGCCCCCUUCUUCUGGAUAACCGCAUGAAAGUGUGGCUAAUACGGGAUAUUCUGGGUCUGUCGCAUGAUGGGUCUGGGAAAGAUAUUGUUUCGGUGGGGGAUGGGCUCGCGGCCUAUCAGCUUGUUGGUGGGGUGAUGGCCUACCAAGGCGGGGACGGGUAGCCGGCCUGAGAGGGUGGACGGUCACACUGGGACUGAGACACGGCCCAGACUCCUACGGGAGGCAGCAGUGGGGAAUAUUGCACAAUGGGCGCAAGCCUGAUGCAGCGACGCCGCGUGAGGGAUGGAGGCCUUCGGGUUGUAAACCUCUUUCGCCAGUGAAGCAGGCCUGCUCCUUGUGGGUGGGUUGACGGUAGCUGGAGAAGAAGCGCCGGCUAACUACGUG
rnacentral:rRNA from 1 species